CUGUGCUAGCAAAACAGUCAUGUAGUUUAGCAUCCGUGCCAUCUUACCACUUCCGUAUUGAGCGAGUCACUGGUACUUCCUGUUUUAGUUUUUGCUUGUAAGCAGGAAUCAGGAGGAUAUAAUUAUGGUCAUAUUUGUCAAAUGGAGGGUGAGGGAGAGCUUUGUAUGCAUCUCUGUGUGUGGAAUAAAGGUGGUCUUGGAUUUUUUUUUUUGGUUGCACAUGUGACAUGCUGGUAAAAAUUUGGUAAAACUGAUUUAAGUUUGCCUGCAUUAAAGUCCCCGGCUACUAGGAGCGCCGCUUCUGGCAUGAUAAAGAAGCGGUUCUCUUUCCAAGCCCCACAGCAGCCGAUGAGACCCGUGAAAGACAGCACUGAGCCCAUACCAAUACAGAUGUAGCUGAUGUAGAUGAGCUGAGACGAGUAGGAGCCCAGGACAUCCACAAACGUAGCUGCUCCAUAUCUAAUCCAUGCGCCAAGCCCCAGCAGCACAAAGCCACUUAUCUGGAGGGGAGAGAAAGAUGAUGGUGUUCUUUCAUUUUUUUUAUUUUUAUCAUCUGUUAAUAAAUUGCGUUUGAGUUGUUAUG